rnacentral:tRNA from 1 species
GCGACGUGGUUCAGUUGGUUAGUUAAUGACUUCUAAAUGUCAAGGCUCCGGGUUCGAGUCCUGGUAGC